GGCGCCGGCCGCCCAGCCACCACCACCACAACACGGCUGCUACCGCCCCCAGGAGGGGCGGAGCCCGGAACCCGCGGCGGGGGCAGCCCGACGGUCAGGUCUCCUGAGCCGUCGGGGAGCUGGGCAUGCGCGGAGGGCCGAGAACGAAAAGUCAACAAGGCCUGAAACGCCCCCGCCGUCCCAUCCGGUUCUGCCCACUCCGGGCUCGCUCCGCCCCCAGACCCAAAUAACGCGAGGCUUUAACGGGAGCCUGGAGAUGGGGGUGGUGGGAGGAGAUCUCGCGAAAGCUGGGCUUCAACCUCCCGUCCCCUUUCCUGGGUCUGGGCGGCUGUGGGUAGUGUGGCCCGAGGCUGGUGGAGUGUUGCUGUUGUGUACCUUCCGGAGAGGGCCUGUCUGGCGUUGGAGCAGCUUCGGGAGCGCUUUUAUGGUUUUGGAGGCGACCUCCGCGGGAUAACUCUCCAGAGGCUUCUGUGCAGGGUGAUCACUGGCUUACCUGAAGAGCCAGGGAUUUCUGUGAAGAUUGUGCCCCUCAAGAGGUUCCUCACAAGCCGGUUGUGAGCGCUGCGUCCCUGUGUCGCCGGUGCGCGCAGCCCUUCGAGCCGGCCCUGAGUCCGCAGGAACCGUGGCGGAUCCUUGGGGCAAACACUUGACUCGGGAGCGUGCUAAAAUGUGUUCUUCGUGCCGUACACAGAGUACCUACUACCGGUGAAGCCAGCUUCUGUUGGGCUGGUCAGUCAUCCGUAGCGCAUUAACAGCAGGAAAGGCUUGUGAGAAAGAGGGAAAGUUGAAAAGAGGAAAGAAAGGAGAUGCAGGGUCAGGUUACUGGGGAGUCAGUAAACCCGCUAUUCACCCUUUUAAGACCCCUAGAAAACUGCACAGACUUUUUUCAGUGAGUUUCAAUAUGCAAGAAAGGCAUUGUAUUUCUCCUAAAUAACUUUUGUCCCGCAUGUUCUCCCCUAAUGAUCUUUACAUGUGCCUCUCCAGCCCACUCUUGGAAUUGACAUGAUUCUCUAACAUCGCUUGAUUACUAUUCGGUUUUAGUUUUCAAGUGUAUUAGCAGUGACUGUAGACUACUCAUAAAUACUACCUGAAACAUUAAAAUUAGAACACCCUCGAUGUCCAGAAUAUUGUUUCCCACCAUAAAUGAUUGUGCACAAGAUUGUUUAGAUAAUAUAUUUAUGAAAGCAAAACAGGCAAACGAAGUCAAAGCUGAAAUCACGAAUUAAGAACUUACAUCAACAAAAUUGCUGCUAAGUUUGUCUGCCAUGAAGUCCAGAACUUCCCGGACCAAAUCUGCCAAGGCCUCAGAGAAUUUCUUCCUUGUGUCUCUCAUUUGGCCUGCAGUGAUUGGAAGGAAAACCCAGAACUAAAAUCCCAGUAAAUAUGGAACUUAUUUGUUCCACAUUUUUUUUCUUGUACUGUUUUCUGUACAGUUAAUGACCUGUCACCCUCCCCCUCAAAAAACAAGAGAAUAACCUUUAUUGUACUUAUUUUUCUCUGUUUGGAAAAGAAAAACACCACAUCAACAUUUCCUUACUAAUUUUAAGAAACAUAAAUUUAGCUUGUUGGGACAAUUGCAAUGUUUUCUAGAGUAGGGUGAGAGGUUGAAAAUAAAAGAAAAAGCUUAAGAUCCUAGAUACCAGGAAGUAAUAGCCCUUGUGUCUAUAUAAUUUACAAUUUGAGGAAAUUAAAAGUGAUAUUAGAGUUGACAGAGGCAAAAGGGGAUUUUCAGUCUUACUGACAAUCUUUGCCUAUUAGCAUUAGCACUUUUUUUUUUUUAAUACAAGUAUCUCCUAAGUAUUGUGUUCCCUUGGCACGUGUUUAUUUCACAUAUUGAGAAACAUUAUAGCCAAAAUUCAAGAUCAGAACCCUAUGAUGACAUAAGACUAGCUAACCACUAGAGAAAAGUGGAAAAGACAUGGUUUAAACCAGUGAUUCUCAAAUUGUGGUUCAGGACCAAAAACCAAAACCAAACCUGUUGCCGUCAAGUCGCUUCCAGCUCAUGGAGACCCUAUAGGGCAAAGUAGAACUGCCACAUAGGGUUUCCAAGGAGCGGCUGGUGGAUUCGAACUGUCGACCUUCUGGCUAGCAGCCGAUCUGUUAACCACUGCACGACCAGGGGUCCAUCCAGGACUGGUGUUAUCAAGUUAGAUAUGCAAAUUCUUGGGGCUCCAACUCAUUUUAAUAAGCCCUCUGGGUGAAUCUGAUGUACACUAAAGUUUGAGAAACCAAAAACAAACCAAGUCCACUGCCGUCAAGUCAAUUUCGACUAAUAGCGACCCUAUAGGACAGAGCAGAACUGCCCCAUAGAGUUUCCAAGGAGCACCUGGCGGAUUUGAACUGCCAACCUCUUAGCAGCUGUAGCAUUUAGCCACUAUGCCACCAGGGUUACCAAAGUUUUAGAACCGUGGUUUUCAGGUACAUGCUUUUAUCUAAAAUACACAUAAUUCACAUGUCUUUGUUAUCUAGUGCUUUAUAACAGAAAUACCAAGGUGGGUGGCUUUGACAAACAAAUUUAUUUUCUCACAGUUUAGGAGGCUGAGAGUCUGAAUUCAGGGUGCCAGCUCUAGAGGAAGGCUUUCUCUUUGUCAGUUCUAGGGGAGGCUCCUUGUCUCUUCUGAGUUUCUGCUCCUGGGCAGUCUUCAUGGGACUUGGCCUCUCUCUUCCCCCAUCUCUUGCUUCUUUCCCUUGCUUGUUUAAUCUCGAAUAUCUCAAAAGAGUUUGACUUAAAACACACUUAACACUAAUCCUGUCUCAUUAACAUAACAAAGACAGCCAAUUCCCAAAUGGGAUUAUAACCACAAGCAAAGAGGUUAGGAGUUACAACACGUAUUCUUUGGGGACACAAUUCAGUCCAUAACAUCACACAUAAGAAAUUUAGUAGAAAACAGGCUUCCUUUUGGUGAGAGAGAAAAUAUUCUCCAUGCUUUGUACUCCCAAUGUCAAUAAUACCCACCUUUGCCUAAGAAACUGUACUUAUUCUUCAAGGACUUCCCCCAUUAUUUCUUCCUCUCUGAAGCCUUUGAGUCGGAGUCGACUCGACGGCAAUGUUUUUGGUUUAUUGGGUUUAUGAAGCCUUUUCUUAAUCCUUGGAGCCAUAAUAUCGUUUUAUUGUGUUGCUAUUGCUGUUCACAUUCAAAGAUGCUGCUUGUGUUUGUGGAUGUGACCUAAAAGACUGUAAGUAAUCCUGUCUAUUUUGGAAAAUUGCCUUAUAUUGUGCACCACUGUUGAUUUAGUGGACCUUAUCCUUUCCUAAGGAGCCCUGGUGGCGCAGUGGUUAAGACCUUGGCUGCUAACCAAAAGUCGGCAAUUCGAAUCCACCAGCUGCUCCUUGGAACCCCUAUAGGGCAGCUCUACUCUGUCCUAUAGGGUCACUACGAGUUGGAGUUGACUCGACAGCAACACGUAGCUUUUACUACUGCUCUUUAUUGUUUGCUAUCUGAAAUUGUCCAACCAGAAUGCCAGGUUCACCAGCAGACUGCAGUAGUUUCUUAGCAUUUCAUAGCCGUUGUGUAUUAUCUGAGAUUUCUGAAUACUUUCAAAAACUAUGACAAACUUAAUGCAGUUAUUUUAUAAUAAUAAUAAUUUUUUAAAAAUGAACUUCAAAGAAUUUAACUCUAUGAGACAAGCAAAAAUGUAAAUACAUUUACCUGUCUAUGUUUUACUAUCUCCCCUCAAAAAUUCCCAGCAAAACACUGAAAAGCAGAAAAGUUUAAUAUUUUAAAAAGCUGUUUUUAGCUUCUCAAAUACAGUAAUCAUUGCAAUCUAAGUAAUUCAGGGAUUGUAUGUAUGAUUGAAAAUAAAAUACUUUCCCAAAGUCAUUUGACCUCAUUCUUCAAGUGAAAACUUCGGAAAUUCUCAUCCUAUUUAAUACAGUUUCAUAUUAAAAGUGAACCGUAUUUAUGCAGACUAUAUCCAGUUAGAAAUAAAUCCAAAUUUAAUCUCUAGUAAAUAACUUUAAACCAUAAUGCAUAUAAACAAAUAUGUGUGUGUGUAUAUAUAUAUAUAUAUAUAUAUAUAAUUUAUUUCACAUGACAAUAUCAAAGAUAUUUAAAUGAUUAGCUGUUUUAGGCCUCAAUUCUCAAUUUGUUAGGAUUAUUUAAAAAUAAUAUCUGAUAAUGGAUCUUAGCUCUUACUUAUUUUCUUCAUCAAGUCUUUGUCUUCUCCGCUUGCUGAGUUUGAAAGUCAUAUUCAAAGAAGGCUAUACAGAUAGCCAUUUUGAUCACCUAAAUUGAAGUCAUAAGGUUUAUUACCUUGUUACAUUGGCCUGAUACUAGUUGUAUAUUAAUGUAAUAUUAAAUUGGCCAAAUCGUGUCUUUAGUGAUUGAUAAUAUCCAUUCUGUUAAUGAGUAAAUUGAUCUUACAGAGUUUGUUGAAAAAUAGGAAAGAAAAGGCAAGUACCAACCUCAUUAAAGAAAAAAUUUCAUUUAUAAAAUGAUUUGAAAGGUUGAGUUAUCUAGCAUUAUUUAUUUGUAUAUGAUUUAUAUCACAAGUAAGAAUUUUAUGAAUUUGAUCAUUCAUUGGUAUAAAAAUAAAAAUAUGAAAUAACUAUUUGGAAGUGAUGGCGUAAACUUUGUUUCAUCCUAAACAAUUGAGUAAUGACUGUAAUCUAUUAGUAACCAUUAGGACUCUGUAUGGUCAUCUUUGUGUACUUUUCUUCUUGCCCUGUAACCUGUCUUCUCCGUAUAGCAAAUUCUGCCUCCCUCUCUAACAAAUUUCAAGUACAAUAAGUUAAACUCAUUUCCUUAUGAAAAAUAUUUACAUAUGUCUUAAUUUCAAAAUUUUGCAAAACAAGCUGCCCUCCUGGAACUCAAAUAUGAUUUUUUUCGUUUUUCAUGAUAAUCAUUCAGAGUAGGAAUUGUCAUAACUACUAACUAUAUAUUAUAGUUGUCAAAGUGCAAAAUACCAACGCAAACUUUGUAUAGAGGAAUCAACAGAGAUUUAUUUAGGGAAUAGAACAGCCAGGCUAGGAAGCAUAAAGUGAAAAUAUGAUAUGCUUCAGCUUAAUGGAAAAGGGGAAAGAUUUUUAUACGGUAAAAUGGGGAAGAGAGUCAUAAGGUGGCUGCAUGAUCACAGUCACAAGUUGGACACGUGACCAUAGUCUUUCUUAAUGUCAGUAAUCCUAUUUUAAACACAUUGUUCCUGGAACAAGCUGCGCAAGCAUUCUUGGUAAACAUCAUCUGACCAGCAUUUCUUGAACUUCCACAAAACACAUCCUUGCCUUAUCUUCAUUUAAAGUUUUACAAGCUUGUAACAUUUAUUUUAAGACAGAAGCAGGAGCUGGAGACAGAAUGAAAUUUGAUUCAGACCUGAGUUAGCCAUUUUGUUGUGCCAAGUGCUUCAGUUUUAGGAUGCCCUCACACAUUCCCCCCUUUUGAUCAUGAAUCUCUGUAGAGAUUCCCUGUUUACUAUUAUAAGAAUGUUACUUGUGCAGGACCUUUUUACUUCAGAUGGCCACUCUCUAAUGAGCCUUUAAGACCCCAGAUGUUAUUUUAAGUUAACCAGGUACCAUCCAGUUAUUCACCAUGCCAGAGCUUAUACAUUAUACUUCUGUGAUCCUUGGCUUGGGGAAUAGAGUGUGGGGCAAGGCUGCAUUUGGAGGAACAACUUGACAUCCUAAAAGGCCAAUUCAAGUUGUGAAGUUGAUCUCCUUUAAGGACCUAUUUUCUUCAAGAUGCAUGAUUCUUUGCAUAGCAACGGGAGAGUUAACUUGAGUACAAACAUUAGACAAGCAUUUCAUAGUGCAUUUGAUUAUACAUAUAAUGAUUAUUAUAAUGAUUAAGAUAACUAUCCAUGCUUGUUGUGUCGAGCAUAACCAGGAACCAACACCUUGUAACCUGCUAAACGUGUCAAAUAUAGUAGAAAGAAGAGAGUUAAUCAUGGUGGUGGGGGCAUUGGAUGUAACCAAGUGGCUUUUUGGCAAACUUUUAUGAUAUCUUCUUCUACUUCUCCUGUGGUAUUUAUCCAAGUACAGUAGGAGGUGUUAGCAAGUUAGCAGUAGCACAUACUCUUCCUUGCUGCAAGAGGAGAAAGUUAAGAGAUAAUCUAAUCACUUGGCAAGGGGUUCUAGAGAUUUUGUCGUCCAGACAUGCUAUCUACAGUGUCACUGGCAAUUUGAGCCAUUGGAGCAGAUAAAUUGCUAAUGGAUUUCUCAAAAUGAGGAAUACCAUGCCAAGGUAAGAAGGCUCGAAAGAAUACCCAUCCCAUACAUAUCAGCCACUGGAUUUUCAGGAUCUUCCCAUCUUCUUUUGUGAUGGGUAAUAAGCUUGAUAAGGGUCUCUCAAUUGUUAUUCCAAUGAGUGCUUUCAUUAUAUGAGUGUAUGUCUAGGGGAGCGCCUAAUACACCUAAUGUACAUUGACCCACUAAUCAACCAACAAAGCAGGGUAGUGCCCAGCCAUAAGAUUCAUUGCUUAGAUUUUGUUCUUUCUCUGUUGGGCAGUUUGAUCCUCGGCAUCAAAGUAUAUAUACACAAGGGGCACAUGUCACACCAGUUUUAGUAUCAUUGUGUGGGAAGGGAAUGGAUUAACUAAAGUGUUCAAGCCCAUUUUCUUUAAGAAAUUGUUGAAAGCAAUCUUAAAAAUACUGGAACAACUUCUUUUAUCAGUUCAGUGCAAGAAUAGGAUUGUGGACUUAGGAGGCAAGGGGAAAAGUCUGUAGGUGUAAAUCUGUGUCUAGGUUGGCCAUACCAUUUUAGGGCCAAAUUAAAACGUGAUAUUUGAAGUUGAUCUAAUGGCCAAGGGGGAUGCGAUAGUCUGACAUAGUUCAUUUGAUAUGACACAGAAAUUAAGAGUAGUGCUGGGUAUAGAGCUGUAAUUAAAUGGAGGUAAAAAAAAAUUUUUAUUUUUUUUAAUGCUAGCAGAUCUCAAUUUUCAUGCAUAGACUUCAGGGAAGAACGAGAUAUCUAACAGGUUACUAGCACUAACCACUGAUUGAGCUAGUUCAACAAAGGCAUUUUUUUCCAGGUAUCAUUGAGGGUUGUCUUAGUCAUCUAGUGCUGCUAUAACAGAAAUACCACAAGUGGAUGGCUUUAACCAAGAGAAAUUUAUUUCCUCACAGUAAAGUAGGCUAAAAGUCCAAAUUCAGGGUGUCAGCUCCAGGGGAAGGCUUUCUCUCUCUCCUUCUCUGUCUCGGCUCUACAGGAAGGUCUUUUUCCUCAAUCUUCCCCUGGUCUAGAAGCUUCUCAGGCACAGGGACCCCCAGUCCAAAGGACAUGCUCUGCUUCUGGUGCUGCUUUCUUGGUGGUAUGACGUCCUCCUGUCUCUGCUCACUUCUUUGUUUUAUGUCUCAAGAGAUUGCCUCAAGACACAAUCCAAUCUUUUAUAUACCAGGAAUCAUGGCCCAGCCAAAUUGAUACACAUUUUUUUUUGGGGGGGGGACAUAAUUCAAUCUAUGACAAGGGUUAUUAAAAGCAGAAAAAUAAAAUUUAAGAAGAGCUUUAUAAUGAAGAAAAAACUAUCCAAAAAUAAUGCAAUGAGGCAAAUGGCACAGGAAUAAUAGCAACAGUGAGGUAUGCCGCACGGAUCUCAGUUAUUUGUAUGAGAGGAAAAAGGGAAUAAGACUAAUAGUAUGUAAGAGGGAAACUAGCAUAAAAGUAGCUACGAUUAUGAAGUAAAGUCCAAGGAUUUCAACAGUUUGCCUGGAGUCAUGUUCUGUGAUCUUGGGAUUAGCUGUCUACAUCCAACAUCGUCUGCUUCUUGCCACUAGGGUGUUUCAAAGUGAUUUUCAGUUCUCCAGAAGGCUGUCAAGUCCACAAAGGUGUCUUUGUUUUCUUCAGUUGAGAAAAAUGAAUCCAAGUUUUGACUUCCUAUAAUUUGGCAGGACAGCAGUUAGUAAGGAGGACCAGGUAAGGUUCCUUCCAAUUGAGUCGUUUAAUUCAUGU